UUAUAAAGGUGGGUCCUUUAUCCGUUUGCCUAUUUUGCUGAUGUACAUUUGACUCAUUCUCAGCAAAAUAACCAAAUGGAAAAUUCAUCCAUCAAC
ensembl:miRNA